UACGUAGGGUGCAAGCGUUAAUCGGAAUUACUGGGCGUAAAGCGUGCGCAGGCGGUUUUGUAAGUUUGUCGUGAAAUCCCCGGGCUCAACCUGGGAAUGGCGAUGAAGACUGCAAGGCUAGAAUCUGGCAGAGGGGGGUAGAAUUCCACGUGUAGCAGUGAAAUGCGUAGAGAUGUGGAGGAACACCGAUGGCGAAGGCAGCCCCCUGGGUCAAGAUUGACGCU
rnacentral:rRNA from 1 species